AGCGAACGCUGGCGGCAGGCCUAACACAUGCAAGUCGAACGAACUCUUCGGAGUUAGUGGCGGACGGGUGAGUAACACGUGGGAACGUGCCUUUAGGUUCGGAAUAACUCAGGGAAACUGGUGCUAAUACCGAAUGUGCCCUUCGGGGGAAAGAUUUAUCGCCUUUAGAGCGGCCCGCGUCUGAUUAGCUAGUUGGUGAGGUAAAGGCUCACCAAGGCGACGGUCAGUAGCUGGUCUCAGAGGAUGAUCAGCCACAUUGGGACUGAGACACGGCCCAAACUCCAACGUGAGGCAGCAGUGGGGAAUCUUGCGCAAUGGGCGAAAGCCUGACGCAGCCAUGCCGCGUGAAUGAUGAAGGUCUUAGGAUUGUAAAAUUCUUUCACCGGGGACGAUAAUGACGGUACCCGGAGAAGAAGCCCCGGCUAACUUCGUGCCAGCAGCCGCGGUAA
rnacentral:rRNA from 1 species